GAUGAACGCUAGUUACAGGCUUAACACAUGCAAGUCGAGGGGUAACGAGAGGAAAGCUUGCUUUCCUUGUCGACGACCGGCGCACGGGUGAGUAACGCGUAUCCAACCUGCCCCCAACUAGGGAAUAACCUUGCGAAAGUAAGACUAAUACCCUAUAAUUUUCUCAGAUGUCAUCUGACGAGGAAUAAAGAUUUAUCGGUUGUGGAUGGGGAUGCGUCUGAUUAGCUUGUUGGCGGGGUAACGGCCCACCAAGGCAACGAUCAGUAGGGGUUCUGAGAGGAAGGUCCCCCACAUUGGAACUGAGACACGGGCCAAACUCCUACGGGAGGCAGCAGUGAGGAAUAUUGGUCAAUGGGCGGAAGCCUGAACCAGCCAAGUAGCGUGCAGGAUGACGGCCCUAUGGGUUGUAAACUGCUUUUAUACAGGAAUAAAGUUAGCCACGUGUGGUUAUUUGUAGGUACUGUAUGAAUAAGGACCGGCUAAUUCCGUGCCAGCCGCCGCAGUAA
rnacentral:rRNA from 1 species